CUUGUACUAAUCUAGUCAGCAUGUCCUUAGGAACCGUGCUGCUGGAACACCACCCCCAUCGCCCAUCGGCCCAUAAAGCGGUGAAGGCACUCCUGUGUUUCUUAAGAACGACGGGUAUAGUGGUGGAAAUGUACCAUGGACAGAAC